rnacentral:rRNA from 1 species
GAUGAACGCUGGCGGCGUGCCUAAUACAUGCAAGUCGAGCGAACGGACGAGAAGCUUGCUUCUCUGAUGUUAGCGGCGGACGGGUGAGUAACACGUGGCUAACCUACCUAUAAGACUGGGAUAACUUCGGGAAACCGGAGCUAAUACCGGAUGAUAUUUUGAACCGCAUGGUUCAAAAGUGAAAGACGGUCUUGCUGUCACUUAUAGAUGGAUCCGCGCUGCAUUAGCUAGUUGGUAAGGUAACGGCUUACCAAGGCAACGAUGCAUAGCCGACCUGAGAGGGUGAUCGGCCACACUGGAACUGAGACACGGUCCAGACUCCUACGGGAGGCAGCAGUAGGGAAUCUUCCGCAAUGGGCGAAAGCCUGACGGAGCAACGCCGCGUGAGUGAUGAAGGUCUUCGGAUCGUAAAACUCUGUUAGUAGGGAAGAACAUAUGUGUAAGUAACUGUGCACAUCUUGACGGUACCUAAUCAGAAAGCCACGGCUAACUACGUG